rnacentral:rRNA from 1 species
UACGGGGGGAGCAAGCGUUGUUCGGAUUUACUGGGCGUAAAGGGCGCGUAGGCGGUCGUGACAAGUCACUUGUGAAAUCUCCGGGCUUAACUCGGAACGGUCAAGUGAUACUGUCGGACUAGAGUACAGAAGGGGCAACUGGAAUUCUCGGUGUAGCGGUGAAAUGCGUAGAUAUCGAGAGGAACACCAAUAGCGAAGGCAGCUCGCUGGGACGGUACUGACGCUGGAGGCGCGAAAGCGUGGGGAGCGAACAGG